CUGAGAAAAAGAGCAGCAAGGCAGAGAGGGGCUUGGGGGCCUUCUAAAAGGGCUCUGAGGCCGAAAUGUGCAAGGAGAUUCAAGGGGAAAGACUGCACUGGCAGCUGUGUGGAGAAUAAUGCAGAUGUGUGAAAGGGGUGCAGAACAGAAGUGUGAAGAUCAGUUGCAGCUGUGGAGGCAAGAGAUAAGAACACUGAGAGAAAGGGAAAAAGAGAAGUCAGAAUCCAGUCACCUUUCCUGACGCACGCAGUCUGGUUUCUGCUGAGCCUCUCCGAGUUGUUUAGACCAGAGGCAGGCGGCAGGAGGCAGCGCAGACCAGCCGGGACCAGGAGAGACAACAUACCAGACAGUGACAACGUCCAAAUGGAGCCAGGCCCCUUCAGCUGUUUACAGCAGGCAGCUGAGCCGUGAGGAGCCAAAUGACCUUGGUCAAGAUGGGGCGUCCAUGACGACCAGCUGACAGUGCCAGUGUAGUUCCAUUCCAGCGUGCGUGUGGCCACAGUCUCCUAACGAUUGUAUCAUCCGGUCAGAAAUGUCUAGCGCUAGCAUGGGGAUCCGAUUUGAAGCUGAAGGGGCCAAGCCCUCACUGGGGGGAAGGAAGGGCCCCCGUUUUCCAGUCUGGUUCUAUCUGAUGGCAUCCAUGUGCACUGGCUCCCUCUCAGGGACAGCCAUGCGGCUCACAUCCCAACACGGCUUUCACCGUGCAUUUCCCAUGAGCCUAGACUCUCCUUGUAAUUCACUGGGGCGUAUUAAACUUGACCUAGUAUCUUAUAUUUUUUAGAAGUGGAACCAUCACUGUUUUAAAAGAUUCAGUUAUUAAAGU